rnacentral:rRNA from 1 species
UACGUAGGGGGCGAGCGUUGUCCGGAUUCAUUGGGCGUAAAGCGCUUUAAGGCGGUUCGCUAAGUCGGGUGUGAAACCUCCAGGCUCAACCUGGAGACGCCACUCGAUACUGGCGUGACUAGAGUUCGGUAGGGGACCACGGAAUUCCUGGUGUAGCGGUGAAAUGCGCAGAUAUCAGGAGGAACACCUGUGGCGAAAGCGGCUCACUGGACCAUAACUGACGCUGAUGCACGAAAGCUAGGGGAGCAAACAGG